rnacentral:rRNA from 1 species
GCAGUCGACGGUGAAGAGAGCUUGCUCUCUGGAUCAGUGGCGAACGGGUGAGUAACACGUGAGCAAUCUGCCCCUGACUCUGGGAUAACAGUUGGAAACAGCUGCUAAUACCGGAUACGAGCUUCGAAGGCAUCUUCAGAAGCUGGAAAGAACUUCGGUCAGGGAUGAGCUCGCGGCCUAUCAGCUAGUUGGUGAGGUAAUGGCUCACCAAGGCGUCGACGGGUAGCCGGCCUGAGAGGGUGACCGGCCACACUGGGACUGAGACACGGCCCAGACUCCUACGGGAGGCAGCAGUGGGGAAUAUUGCACAAUGGGCGCAAGCCUGAUGCAGCAACGCCGCGUGAGGGACGACGGCCUUCGGGUUGUAAACCUCUUUUAGCAGGGAAGAAGCGAAAGUGACGGUACCUGCAGAAAAAGCGCCGGCUAACUACGUGCCAGCAGCCGCGGUAAUACGUAGGGCGCAAGCGUUAUCCGGAAUUAUUGGGCGUAAAGAGCUCGUAGGCGGUUUGUCGCGUCUGCUGUGAAAACUGGAGGCUCAACCUCCAGCCUGCAGUGGGUACGGGCAGACUAGAGUGCGGUAGGGGAGAUUGGAAUUCCUGGUGUAGCGGUGGAAUGCGCAGAUAUCAGGAGGAACACCGAUGGCGAAGGCAGAUCUCUGGGCCGUAACUGACGCUGAGGAGCGAAAGGGUGGGGAGCAAACAGGCUUAGAUACCCUGGUAGUCCACCCCGUAAACGUUGGGAACUAGUUGUGGGGUCCAUUCCACGGAUUCCGUGACGCAGCUAACGCAUUAAGUUCCCCGCCUGGGGAGUACGGCCGCAAGGCUAAAACUCAAAGGAAUUGACGGGGACCCGCACAAGCGGCGGAGCAUGCGGAUUAAUUCGAUGCAACGCGAAGAACCUUACCAAGGCUUGACAUAUACGAGAACGGGCUAGAAAUAGUCAACUCUUUGGACACUCGUAAACAGGUGGUGCAUGGUUGUCGUCAGCUCGUGUCGUGAGAUGUUGGGUUAAGUCCCGCAACGAGCGCAACCCUCGUUCUAUGUUGCCAGCACGUAAUGGUGGGAACUCAUGGGAUACUGCCGGGGUCAACUCGGAGGAAGGUGGGGAUGACGUCAAAUCAUCAUGCCCCUUAUGUCUUGGGCUUCACGCAUGCUACAAUGGCCGGUACAAAGGGCUGCAAUACCGUAAGGUGGAGCGAAUCCCAAAAAGCCGGUCCCAGUUCGGAUUGAGGUCUGCAACUCGACCUCAUGAAGUCGGAGUCGCUAGUA